rnacentral:sRNA from 1 species
GCCGGGUGCGGUGGCGCGGGCCUGUAGUCCCAGCUACUCGGGAGGCUGAGGCUGGAGGAUCGCUUGAGCUCAGGAGCUCUGGGCUGCAGUGCGCUAUGCCGAUCGGGUGUCCUCACUAAGUUCGUCAUCAAUAUGGUGACCUCCCGGGAGCGGGGGACCACCAGGUUGCCUAAGGAGGGGUGAACUGGCCCAGGUCGGAAACGGAGCAGGUCAAAACUCCCGUGCUGAUCAG